rnacentral:rRNA from 1 species
CUCCAGACUCCUACGGGAGGCAGCAGUGAGGAAUAUUGGUCAAUGGGCGAGAGUCUGAACCAGCCAAGUCGCGUGAAGGAUGAAGGAUCUAUGGUUUGUAAACUUCUUUUAUAUGGGAAUAAAGUGAGGAACGUGUUCCUUUUUGUAUGUGCCAUAUGAAUAAGCAUCGGCUAACUCCGUGCCAGCAGCCGCGGUAAUACGGAGGAUCCGAGCGUUAUCCGGAUUUAUUGGGUUUAAAGGGAGCGUAGGCGGGUUGUUAAGUCAGUUGUGAAAGUUUGCGGCUCAACCGUAAAAUUGCAGUUGAUACUGGCAUCCUUGAGUACAGUAGAGGUAGGCGGAAUUCGUGGUGUAGCGGUGAAAUGCUUAGAUAUCACGAAGAACUCCGAUUGCGAAGGCAGCCUGCUGGACUGUAACUGACGCUGAUGCUCGAAAGUGUGGGUAUCAAACAGGAUUAGAUACCCCAGUA